ACAUGAUAGAAUAGUAUCAUUCACUGUAACAAUUGUUUACUGUUUUUCAUCAGGGUUUAAGUGACAGGUACGUUGCUCAGACUGCAGUUUCCUGAUCCUUCUUCACCCUCUUGAGGCAGCUUUUUCCAAAUACUUCUGUCAUACUGGUGGUAGCACUUAUGCCAUUACAUGAUCAACUAGAUUAGGAAACUGAUCUGGUUUUGAAAAGAUCUUGGGUGAAAGAGUGCUUCAGCUUUCAUCUGACUCACCUUGUCCAGCUUGUGGGCUGACAAUGGGACUGCUCCCUUGGGUGGCAAAAGGGCUACAAGAGUUUAUGGGAAGAAUGGGACUGUCCUUUGCAGCAGCAGUUUGGGCUUAGUUUGCAUGGUUUGGAAUCCAUGUGUUUCAUCUGCUAGUGAGAAGGCAGUGCUAGCUGUGAAGGGUUUUGUAGUGUGAACUUCUGUGUGCUGGGGCUUACGGAGUAGAAGAGGAACCAACUGGCAGUCAAAUUGAAACAGCUCCGGGCUGGAGUUGACCCAGUGGUUUGGUAGGAAAAACUAUUUUUUCCUCAUAUGAUUUAUUCAUAGAGAUCUGUAUAAGUGCAGAAAUGUAUGUGUUCUUGUAUCCUGAUCAUGGCAGGAUUAUUUGAAAGCAUUGGUUUUAUAAUGAUGGAUUGCUAUAGACAUUUUGGGCAUCUUUUCCAAACACUAUUAAGCCUUGGGUUUCUUCAGGCUGUUCAUUUUGUGAUUAAAGUAUUUUAUGUGUAAGGUAAUCUCUCUAAUAAUAAUUCUCAGUUUUGUUAGAACUGCAUAGGCCUUUGCAUGUCACUGCAACAAUCCUUGUGAUUUGUUCUUGAUUCAUUUUCACAGACUGCUAGCUUUGGGCAACCAAAUAAUAUUCCCACUCCACAGGAAGCACUGGAUUUCCUUGUGUGGAAUGCUGUGUAGCAUAGUGAAAAAAGUGUCUUAAAAUAAUGUAACAGAGUACUGACAGCUACUUCUGUCAGUGCUGCUGUGUAAAGGUGGUGCUGGAACAACUGCAUCAGAACAGGUAAUGGCAUCUGUGAGUUUACAGUAAAUUGUCUUUUUUGCAAGUAAGGAGAUAGAAAACAGUCUUGUGACCCAGAAGCUACUGUGAGCAAGUUAGAACUGUUGUAUUCUUUGCAGUAUGUGCAAAAUUGGGAUGGGGAACAUUUUGAACCUAAAUAACAUGUUAAGUAGGUGGCUGUUCUUCUAUCAAUACUAUUUAUCAUCUGCUUUCCCACUUCAAAACUGAAUUCCAGGAAAUCUGCCUGUGAUUCAAGUAAUACAGCAUCAUGACAUCAGAGUAGGCUUUUUUGUGUUGUCAGUAACGUCUUUUUUCCACUCCUUCUUGAUCAGAUCUGAAUUGCUUUCCCGGGAGGUAAAUUGAGAUUAAGUGAUAUAAAAUGCCUCUGAGGACCCUGGAGUCACGCAGCAAAAGUGUUUACUGUGCCUGAAUCACUUCUUUAUAUCUGAGAAAUCCAUUGACUCAUGCCAUGUAUUUUCUGUUUUGGAGAUUAUAUUCAAUUGCAGCUUCUGAUGAAUUUGAAAGUAGUAUCAGCUAUGCAUGCAUAAAUAGGCCAGGUGCUCUGGGGAAACCAGCAUGCAUCAUUUGCAUAGCAUAUUGCCCACCAGGACCCCUAGAUAUCACAGUAAAACUGUAAAGAACCAUGCAGGUUCUUCAGGAUUCUGUUAUUCAAGAGCCUUCAGACUCUUGCUAAACUGUGGUUCCUGACUUAGUGGAGAACAGACUUGCCUUUUCAAGAGACCGUGGCAGUUGUUUCAACCAGUCUUCAAAAAUUAUGAUUAGACUGACUUCUAAGAACUAGAUUAAUUUGAUUGGAUCGUGUUUAGUGUGCUGAUAAUGCAUUCUGGAAGUCACUGAGGAGUAGAGAGACUGGAGACAAUAUACUGAGUGAUGGUCUUCAUCUUGCACAUGAGCAAUAGGAAUCUGUGGUUGAUGAGCAGUCCAGUCAGUACUGAGAUACUAGAGCCUCUGGUUCCACUGGCAUUGCUGUCUAACGUAAGUCUUUCCUGUAUGCUGAAAAGGUGAGUCCUGUACCUUCCAUCCUUGUUUUGAUGCUAAUGAUUGUACACAUAGAUGAUAAUGAAAGAGCUAAUUGGAAGGAAAAUCCAUUGCUCUUUUUUUGCGGGGCCACUGGAGUCAGCGUGAGAAUGACGGAAGUGAAUGUGGGAAGGCAGAACCGCACCCUUCAUUACUGUUGAAGGUUUCGGCAGGAAGAAGUAGAAACUAAUAACGUUCAAUGAUUGAAUUCUUCUCCCCUCCCCCUAUGAACUGAGCAUGGAUGUAAAACAGGUCAAAGCUGCUGGUAGUUUCCUUGUGUGUCAGAGCUUUGUUACUGAGCAAGUGAGUGCAGGUUUUUACUGUCAGGAAACUAAAAAUUUCUGCAAACCCGUACUGAUAUUCGGUCUGUCCAGGCGUUCCCCCCCACAGCUUUUCGCUAUAUUUUCCAUUUGAGAAGAGAGGAGGAUGGUUUAUGGUGAUCAGCAAUCCUUUAUGGCUGCUUCUGAGGCAGCAGCAUUUUACACAAAUUGAAGCAGUGACUUUGACCUUACAAAAUAAAUCAAUGACCAGUACUCACAGCUCCUCCUGAUUGUAAUGCACUGAUUGAUGUACUGAUGCUCAGUGUAUCACAAAAUCAGAAUGCUUAGUAGCCUUUCUGUUUUGCAUCUGUCUUACUGAGAGGCUAUAUUUAACAGGAAGGGUGUCAUUAUCAACUUGAUCUUUUUAAAUAAAACACAGUAUUUGAUAUUCUUUUGAACCUCAGUGUUAAUGAUUUCUGCAUGCUUCAUUAAGAAAAAAAAAACAGUUCUUUAAAUAGCUCCUGUAAAACCAGCUUCUCUUCAGCAAAAGAAUGUUGUGGCUGUUUUCUGUGUUACAGUUUCUGUGGAGCUAAUGAAGGCAAGGGCACACUACUGGCUUCUGUUUGGCUUGGUGUCCACCAGGACUCCCAGGCCCUUAUCUGCAAAGUAGCUUUCAGCCUGGUGCAUACAUUUCAUACUUUCAGCAUACAUUGGUGCAUGUGUUAAUUUUCUUUCAGCUUCAUAGGCUUGGUGUUAAAUGACAUUUAAAAUUUUUUGUUUAUUUUUUUUUUUAGCAGGUUAGGUGCUACUGUGGUAGUGAUAAAAUGAAUUUUAAUUAACUUUUCAGCAUAGGUGUGAUGACUUCUCAAAUUUCACUUUAACGUAAUGAUUUGUAAGCCUUGCUCAAGUGAAGAAUGUCUGAGGACAUUGUGAAUAUCCAAGUAAACAUCAACGCCAGAUUACGGGCUUUUAUUACCUGUGGUAAUUCAAUUGAAAUCCGUGGCUUGUUAACUGAGCUGUACUGAUUCUGAGGGAAGAUGAAAUAGUGCCCAUGUAGAUUUCUGUUGUGUUGAUAAAUUGCUACAAAAGGGAUUUCUGCUGUCAGUGGAUCAAAUACAAAGACAAAAUUUAUUUCCUUCAUGUAACAGUGUAUCGUAUUAGACAUCCUGAGGAAAACGAAGUUAAAUAUUAGUAAAGUAUGUUCUGCACAUAA